rnacentral:lncRNA from 10 species
CCUCAAAUAACCAAUGGAAUCCUAGCAGGAAACAGCUCACAGUAGGCUCUGGAGGGAAUGCAUGCAAAGUGGCACCGGUGCCCACCUAAGGCCAAGAGACAUCUGGAACUCUUAAGAUUGAACCCCACAGGAGGACACUCGGAGGGGAUCAUCCGGAACUCAAACUUUCCAAAGAAGAUGCUCUCUGCAGAGAGACCAUCGAGCUUCAGAUGAUCACUCAACAAAGGCUCCAGCAAGUUCCAGGUGAAGACACCACCCCUGGCCAUCAAGGAGCUACCCUGCCUCCACUAGACACAGCAGGAUGGAGUUUUGCUCUUGUUGCUCCAGCUGGAGUGCAAUGGCGCCAUCUUGGCUUACUGCAACUUCUGCCUCUCAGGUUCAAGUGAUUCUCUUGCCUGAGCCUCCCAAGUAGCUGGGAUUACAGGCAUGCACCACCACGCCUGGAUACUUUUUGUAUUUUUAGUAGAGACAUGUAUUUUUGUAUUUUAGUUUCACCAUGUUGAUCAGGCUGGAUGGUCUCGAACUCCUGACCUCGGGUGAUCCACCUGCCUCGGCCUCCCAAAGUGUUGGGAUUACAGGUGUGAGCCACCAUGCCUGGCCUUUCCUUGCUUUGUUUGUGCCUUUUGUACAAUUCUUUCUUCAAGACGCCAAGAACCUGGACACCCUCUACUGUUAACAGGAGUGUUUCACAAAACUAAAGAAUUAUUUUGUGUUUACGUUAAAUUUAAUGUGUGUGGUAGAAACGAAAACUAGAGAUUUAAAAGGAAAGGGUAUAAUGGCAAGAAUGAAAUCCUUGAGUAACCAGAUGCAAUGGGAUAUAAGGAACAAUUUAAAGUGUGAACUUAGGAAGCAGAAAAGUUUUACCUUUGAAAAAAAGAGGAAAAAUCAACUAUAUAGAGAUCUAUCAAAAUGGAGAUAGCUUUUUUAUGAACAAUCGGGUUGCUUUUGUUUUCUUAGAGAAGUAAGAAGUAAGUUAAUUGACUAAGAGUUAAAUACUGAGCAGGGGUAGGGGUUUUUUAAAAAUAUUACACCUUUAUCAGAGUGAGAAAGUAAACCUACCAGGAUAAUAGUUAUAGUUUAGAAAGCCUACUUAAAAGCUAUGGCUUUAAAAUUUCAGUCACCAUCGUUGUGUGUUUUUUACAAAAGCAUUCAUCAAGGUUGGUGUAGGCCUUGUUGCUGUAUUCUACAGUUUACACUGAAAUUUUAGUUUAGGCUGGGUGAGGUGGCUCAUGUCUGUAAUCCCAGCACUUUGGGAGGCCGAGGUGGGUGGAUCACAAGGUCAGGAGUUCGAGACCAUCCGGGCGAACAUGGUGAAACCCCAUCUCUAGUAAAAUUACAAAAAUUAGCUGGGCGUGGUGGCAGGCACCUGUAAUCCCAGCUACUCGGGAGGCUGAGGCAGGAGAAUCACUUCAAACCGGAGGGCGGGGGGUGCAGUGAGCCGAGAUUGUGCCACUGCACUCCAGCCUGGGUGAAAGAGUGAAAAUCCAUCUCAAAAAAAAAAAUAGUUUAAAUAGAGUUGUUUCUAUAAGUAAAAAAGGCCACUGAAGUAAGAAUACUUUCAAUUAAUUGAAUGGCUAUAGUAAUAGACUACAAAAUCAAGCAGUUUAAAGAUAGAAGAGAGGACAUAGGUAAUGGUAGAUAAUGACUGAAAGUCGCCAGAAGUUUGAAAAAAAAUUGACAUGGGAGAAAGAUUAAAAGAUAGCUUGAAAGUUAAGUGGUGUUAUUAACAGAGUGAGAUACUUAAAUUAUGAAUUUCAGAGGUGGUAUACCUAUAUUUUGUUGUCAUUAAAUAGCAAAUCACCAAAUGAAGAGUAAGAGGCUGAGGUUAAGAGAAGGAAAAGGUCUUUAGAAAUGAGGAAGUAAAAAGAACACAGACACCAGGUGUUUGCUAUAUCGUCUCCAUCGAUAUUGAAGUCAUAAUGAAUGACUUCAACCUAAUUGGACAUUUUAAGUGAGAAGAGAGGAAUACAGUAUGUAAGUGGGUAAUGAAAAGGGGGAGGAGACACAGAGAGCAAGCAGCACAUCUUUGGGUUAUGUGGCACAUAAUGUGGAGGAGAAAAAUAGAAGUAUCACCUUCAGAAGCUGGCACCCAGUGUCUUCACUUGGCAGCCUGAAUUCAGUUUUAUUAAGAACAAAAAGAACUUUGAAGAAUGAAUAUAGGAGAUAUUAUAGCUAGUAUAUUAUGACUUCCUGAAGGCAUACUGUAUCUUUUUUGGAUAUAUGUAUCUCCCAGAUACAUAAAUGAUAGACUCUGGUAAGACAAUAAACAAAAAUGUAUAGUUAUAUGAGAUUAGAUCAUGAUGAAUGACCUAGAAGGUUUAUAAUUCUAAUGGUAAGAUAUAAAAAAGCAUGUGCAAAAUAUGAUGGUCUGAAUGGUCUCUUAGAUGAAUUAGUUUAGUUUACUCUUUUAGCAUGUUUUUAAAUAAAUCGUUAGUGCUAAGGCAGGGGCAAGAGCAGACACUUAAGCAUGUGGGUGGAUGCAGGAAGACAGGAAGCCAGUAACUGAGGGUGAAGAAGAGAACAAGUGUGGUAUAAACAAGGCCAGGAGCCCAUAUCAUCCAAAGUAGUAAUGACGCCAAAAUAAUACUGACUUGAUGAUUUCUUGCCAAGUUAUUUUCCUAAAGUUGUCCAUCUUAUGCAUAGAAUUUAAUUCCAACAUUGAAAAUGAACUGUUUUCCCAUAUACAGAUGGGCUCCUUAAUGCACCAUCAUUCUCUAUGCCUUGCCUCCACGUUUUUACCAAUAUAUGAGGACAGAGUGGCCUUUGUUGGGGAUACUAAUGAAGAAGUAACUCAUAUAAUUCAAUUUCCACGUUCUUCUAAGCCCUUUUACUAAAGUGCCAGUGAACUGCUGUUCUAGAUAAUCUACAUCACAUUCAUUGUCAUCUUGCUAUCUUGCCUAGUGGCAAAAUUGUUUUAAAAGUACAAACGUAUUGAGAUAUGUACUGUUAAUAAUUAAUGCUAUGACAUAUACAAUAAUUACUAUGCAAAUCAAAAGUUUCUCACUUAUUAGAUAGGUUUUUAAUUAAUGUUUUUCUAAAAAUUUUAACUCUUUUACAAAACAAAUACAGUUAUCUCUUAGCAUUCACCAGGAAUUUGAACCAAUACCCACCAUGGAUGUCAGCGUCUGUGGAUCCUCGUCUCUUAAGUCAGCCCCCUGCAUCUGCAGGUUCCACAUCUGCAAAUUCAAGCAAAUGCUGAUCAGAAGUAUGUAUUUAGUCCACGGUUGGUUGAAUCCAUGGAUGCAGCACCCAUAGAUACAGAGGGCUAAUGGAAAUGAUGAAAUAGUGUUAUUUUAAUGGCAUACCAUUUAAAGGAAACAUAAUAUUUAGUUUGUGAUUGCAUUAGUCAGGGUGCUCUAGAGGGACAGAACUAAUAGGUUAGAUUAAUAUAGGAAGAAGAGUUUAUUAAGGAGUAUUGGCUCAUAUGAUCACAAGCUGAAGUCCCACAGUAGGCCAUCUGCAAACUGAGGAGCAAGGAAGCCAGUCUGAGUCCCAAAACCUCAAAAGUAGGGAAGCCGACAGUACAGUCUUAAGUCUGGCUGAAGGCUGGAGAUCCCCUGGCAAAUCAAUGGUGUAAAUCCAAGAGUCCAAGAGCUGAAGAACUUAGAGUCUGAUGUUCCAGUGUAGGAAGCAUCCAUCACUGGAGAAAGAUGUUGGUCAGAAGACUCAGCAAGUCUGCUUUAUUCUAGCUGUGCUGCCAGUUACUAGAUGGUGCCCACCCAGAUUGAGGGUAGGUCUGCCUCUCCCAGUUCACUGAUUCAAAUGUUAAUCUCUUUUGGCAGUACCCUCACAGACACACCCAUGAACAAUACUUGACAUCCUUCAGUCCAAUCAAGUUGACACUUAAUAUUAACCAUCACAAUAAUUACAACUAUCUUCAAAAUCAUCAAUUUAUAUUUGAGUAAAAAUAUUGGAUCAUGGGCCGGGCACGGUGGCUGAUUCCUGUAAUCCCAGCACUUUGGGAGGUCAAGGUGGGUGGAUCACCUGAGGUCAGGCGUUCGAGACAAGCCUGGCCAACAUGGUGAAACCCUGUCUCUACUAAAAAUACAAAAAUUAGCCUGGUGUGGUGUAAUCCCAGCUACUCAGGAGGCUGAGGCAGGAGAAUUGCUUGAAACCAGGAGGCGGAGGUUGCAGUGAGCCGAGAUCAUGCCACUGCACUCCAGCCUGGGUGACAGAGCAAGACUCUGUCUCAAAAAAAAAAAAAAGGAUCAUUUAGGGUUUUUUGUUGUCAGUAGUUUAUAAUUUGAGUUAAUAGCAUUUACUUAAUGAGUGGGACUGUUACUUUUAUGUGUCAACUUGACUAGCCCAAGUGAUGUCUGUUUAGUUGGUAUUCCUGGGUGUGCCUGUGAAACCAGCCCAAUUGUCUCAUAGAACUAGUGAUUAUGGUUUCUUUUGAACAAACACAGAAAUUGACCCUCCCAGACUUAAAACUUAAAGUUACAUUUGUCUUAUCUGAGUUCCUUUUUCAGGAAACCAAUCAUCAGGUCUACCAGAUAAUAUCAGGGAACUGGAAGUCCCCAUUUUAAUUGGUCAGGGAGAUGGAUUUGAGACUGAUCUCCCAUUCUCCUCAGCUGUGGCACCCGAAUAAAGGCUUCUUACCUGGCAAUAUUCUUCAUCUCAAUGAUGGUGAAGUGAGCAUCAGAACCUAGACUGAAUCCCUGGUGUAUUUAUAAGAUCUGUGAAAAUAUUUUUAGAAGAGAUUAGCAUUUGAAUUGGAAGAAUGAGUAAAUAAGAUCACCCUCACCAAUGUGCAUGGGCACCAUUCAAUCCUUUGAUGGCCUAAACAGAAUAAAAAGACAGAGGGUGAAUUUCUAUUCUUUCAUCCUUUUAUGCCUUUGGCCAGGUCAUUGGCACUUCUGGUUAAUGGAUCUUCAGACUCAGACUUAGACCAAAACCAUCAGCCCCUUCACUCUCAGGCCCUCGGACUUGGAAUGAGACUUAACACUAUUGGCUCCUAUAGUUCUCCAACCUUCAGGCUUGGACUGGAACUAUACCUCUUGGCUUUCCUAGUCCUACAGCUUGCAGAUAGCAGAUUAUGGUAAUCCUCAGUCUCCAUAAUCCCGUGAGCCAAACCCUCAGAAUAAAUGUUUUUCUGUACAUCUAUAUAUAUCCUAUUGGUUCUAUUUCUCUGUAGAACUCUGACUUAAUACUUCAGUGAUUUAAUAUAACUAUGAGAAUACUUUAACAAAUUUAAAUUAUUUACAUCUUGAUUAAUGAACACAGGUUUUUUUUCUUGUUAUUGUUUUACUUUGCGAAAAUCAAAAUGGAGUCACUUCUGCUAAAAACAAAACAAAACAAAGCUAGGCAUGGUGGCUUACACCUGUAAUCACAGAUCUUUGGGAGGCUGAGGCUGGAGGAUUGCUUGAAGCCAGGACUUCGAGACCAGUGUGGGCAACAAAGUGAGACCUCAUCUCUAAUAAAAAUUUUCAAAAAGUUAGCCUGGCAUGGUGGCACAUGCUUGUAGUCCCAGCUACUUGGUAGGCUGAGAUAGGAGGAUCACUUGAGCCUAGGAGUUGGAGGCUGCAGUGAGCUUGGUCAUACCUAUGUAUAGCCACAGACUUUAGCCUGGGUAACAGAGUAAGACCCUGUCUCAAAAGAAAACAAAAACAAAAAAACCCCAACCAAAUAAGCAAACAAAACCUUGAAAAAUGAAAAUGAACCCCAGGAAGGCCACAAAUGGAAGGUUCUCAGACACAAAUGUCUGCAGCAAAAACUAUCAUGAAAAAAAAAAGUCACAAAAAAUUCUGGAAAAACCACAACCUUGCACAAAGGCCAUGUCAACCUUACACCAAAAAAUAAUUUGUCUGUGAGGACAUCUGCUCAGCAACUGCCUGUUCAACCUUUGACUGACAGGAAACUUGCUACUGAUUCUUGUGGGCAAGGAUAAUCUCAAAACAAUUAUAUAAUCCUCCUCGUUUUUCCUCUAAAACGUUUGUCUUUCUUUACCUCCCUGAAAUGCACAUAGUUUACUAUGGCACCUGCCAUCCAAUUGCAGUGCCUAUUCUCAGGUAAAUAACAUUUUCUUUUAGAAAUAACAUUUCUAAAAUGUUACAGUGACAAUAUUUACAAUGACAAAUUUGUUCUUUUCAAUCAGUUUCAGCAUCCAAUUGAUUCUAUAUGUUUUUAUAGUUAAAAUAUAUAACAAAAUGUAAAUUUCUACUUAUAAAUAAAUGCAAAUGAUUUCAUUCUAAAUAAUUUCCACUUACAAGUAAAUGCAAAUGAUUUCAUUCUAAAUGAUUUGCUUUAUCUAGCUAUGUAAACAAUUGUGAAAGCUCAGAAAUAAUAUAGCAUUAAUUUUUCACUUAAAAUGUAUAAAAUUUGUUAGACAUAAAGCUCAGAGAAAAUGGACUUCAGACAUAAGAGCAUUCAAAAUUAGUUAUUAUAUAACUUACAAGAAAAUUUUUAAACAUUCUAAUUUUUAUUAUUGGUCUUAUAUUAUUUAACUUAGUAAUUGGCCUAAGUUGGUCUUAAUUUAAGUGUGUGGGACAUGUGUUAUGAUUAAGGAUCCACUUUUACAUUUUUAUAUUAGCAGAUAUGCACAGUUUUGAGUUGAAACAUUUGUGUAUUUACAAAAAAAUUAAAAUACAUGCUCAGAAGUUACAUCAUUUUGUCACUCACACCCUACGCUUCUGAGCAUAUAACUAUUCAAUAGUUAUAUCUGUGCUGAAUUCUGUGUUGGGUGACCUGAUAGGAGUCUUCAUAGAGAAUUUAAUGUCCAUCUUGGGCUCUCCACUUUACUGUCAGGUAUUAGAAGUCAAAGUUCCUCCAGUGUUAGGUGAUAUAUUAUUUGUUAUUGACUGAAUUACAGCCUUAAUAUGUAUUAAAGAGGAACAGCUUAGAAGACUACCCUCUACUCUUCUCAUUUGAUAAUGUUUUUAACUUUUAUCUCAUUACCAUGUAGGGUCUGUAUAAUGGUCUGUAUAAUUCUGACAUUCAACUGGGGAAGUUAAGGUUUACUUGUUCAAGUUAAAGUAACACAUUGUCUCAUAGAGCUUGGAAAGAUAAACUAUAAAUACAUAAAUAAAUACACAUAAUUUGUUAUACACACAUUUUAUGUAAGUAUAGAGAGAGAAUUUUUUCACCUAAAUUCAUAUAUUUUCUUCUAAAUCGCCAUUUAAUUUGACAACUUCUCCCAGUGUGUCUGACCAAAGAAGUUAUUUUGGAGAACAUUGGGUUAAAUGAUUAUGUGUGCUAUUUUAUCAUUCCAACAGCUUUUACUUCAAUUCUAUUAUUGUUCCUAAAUUGCUGAUGAGAAAACUAAACCUUACAUCGGUAAAGUAACUUGCAGGGGGUACAGAGAUACAUUCAUGCACUAGCUCUAUCUUUCUUUUUCACUAACUUCACACUUUAUGCAUUAUGAAAUAUUUUAAAACACGAAAAUGAUCUAUUAGCCCCACUCAUACAUUUAUGCUAAAGUUAUAAUAAACUUAAUCUGUCCCUUUUUAUCAUCACCUUUUGCACGAUAGUUUCACACUGAGAAAUUUAAAGGAAAAUGUGUUUUAAUUAGUUUAACAUGUGGGUUUAUUUUGCCACUUAUCCUUGCAUAUUGUGAGUGAGAGAACAUAGUAACUAUUAAACCACUCCUAUGAAUACAAGGUGCUUAAGAAAGGAAAAGUUUAAUCCCAAUUCUUAUAUACAUGUAGGAUAACCACAUAUCUUCAAAAUGUUGUUUACUUCAAACAUCUGACACCACUAAGCCUGACAAAUGAAACGCUGCAAAGAGCUUCUCAAUUGUCGUAAAUUAAAACACAAUACAACAAGGUAUAUAAAGUAAUCAUGGGGUCAAUAAAAUGUUACCAUUUUAAGUUCCAGAAGCCCAGAACAUAAAUUCUAGGUUUUCAGAAGACAGGUGUUUUUUUUUAAACAAAACAUGUUACAUGCUCUGGUCUCCAGUGGAUGACUUCACUAAAAAUUAUGAAAGAAAAAGAAAUGCUUGAGAGAUUUGAAUACAGAGUUGUUUGAAAAUUAUCCAAUAAAUAAUUGAAAAAGUUCCAGCAACCAAAGAGGUGGAUUAUAAUUAAAUUAAUUAACAAAUUAAUCUAUUAAAUAAGUAAAUAUAUUUAACUAGAGAGAAAUUUUGAAGGACAUAUCAAAUUUCAUAGUAGAUAACAAUUUAUCUAAUCUAAUCAAAAUACUGGUGUUACAGAAUUAAAAUUGUAUUGGAGAAGUUAUUUUAAGAACAGUAAUAAAGAACUUAAUGAAAAUAAAAUUCCAUAGCUUAAUUGAAAUUGUUUCUAUGAACUAGUUUUUGACCUAUUAUGUUCAUUUUAGUGCUUUGAUUGAGUUAGAAUUACUGGAUUAAUUUCUUCCUAGAAAACAGGUUUAAUGAAAGAAUAUAAAGUAUGUAAAUAGAAAUAGCAUAUAUCUUUAAUAUCUAUGUAGAAAACAUUAUCCUUGAUUUUUUAGAAAAUGAUUAACUCACAAUUAAAUCCUACAG